rnacentral:rRNA from 1 species
GACGAACGCUGGCGGCGUGCUUAACACAUGCCAGUCGAACGGAAAGGCCUUUUCGGAGGUACUCGAGUGGCGAACGGGUGAGUAACACGUGGGUGAUCUGCCCUGCACUCUGGGAUAAGCCUGGGAAACUGGGUCUAAUACCGGAUAGGACCGCACUUUAGUGUGUGUGGUGGAAAGUUGUUUCGGUGUAGGAUGAGCCCGCGGCCUAUCAGCUUGUUGGUGGGGUAAUGGCCUACCAAGGCGGCGACGGGUAGCCGGACUGAGAGGUUGGUCGGCCACAUUGGGACUGAGAUACGGCCCAGACUCCUACGGGAGGCAGCAGUGGGGAAUAUUGCACAAGGGGCGCAAGCCUGAUGCAGCGACGCCGCGUGGGGGAUGACGGCCUUCGGGUUGUAAACUCCGUUCGCCAGGGACGAAGCGUUUUGUGACGGUACCUGGAGAAGAAGCACCGGCUAACUACGUG